rnacentral:snoRNA from 1 species
ACUGUGCACUCUGGGAGCCAUACAGUGUUGGUGGCACCCCAGUGCAACUUUCAGACUUCCAGAAAGAGUAUUUUCCAGAAGAAGCUGAAGCAUAACUGCCUGAAUCCCAGCAAUUUGUGUGCAGUUUUUUUCAACAUUUCUUGGCCAUCGAUGAUAGUGAGUAAGCCAUGUCCUUACCUAUCAGUAACAGAAACUGCAUCAUCGCAAUACUGGUUAUUGGAGGGUUGGUUUCUCUUGGAUACUAAAAAUUUAUACUA